UAAACCGAUAAAUUAACACCGUGAGGGCUACCCUCUCUCUUUCUGUCAAACAACUGUAGGUGAUCUUUUCCCCCCUGCCCUGGAAAAAACAACAAUCCCUCACGCAAUCCAGUUACCGGUUGUCUAGCUGGCAAAUGCAGUCUGUAACACCUGUGCAACAGAUACACACAGAUGUACAUAUCCGGCUGUCAAUCCAUCUGUGGAAGGCACUGGAUGGAACAGUUUGUCUUUGAAGAGGUGGAAAGGAGGGCAGAUUCAUAUACACCACAGCUAAGGAAUCUGUUUUCUCCCUCUGCUCAUUGUUUAUAUAUUGUGUUCUGUUCAUAUUUUGUCUCUGUCGUUCUAGGACCGUGCAGGUAACUGCAACUGAGGCAAUAUAGCCAGAGACUCACAGAGCUAGUGGGAUCUGUUCUGUGGCUAGCAAAACUUAACAAGCUUUCCUGUGAUUGAAGAGACAUGUGUGAAGACCGUCUUAGUCCUUGCUGUUAAGAUAUUGUUAUGGAGCAAGGUAGAUCUGCACUGAAGACGUCAGGCGGAGUGGGGCAGUCAUGGCCUCCAGCCAUCUCUUCAGCCUUCCUCUAUAUACCCUGUUAUCAAACCAUCAGGAAGCAGGUCUUCUGUUGCCACACGUUGAGUCAAUGUUUUCUGUGUUUCGCCAAACUGGCGAGUUUUGAUCAUCAGAAAACAUCCUUACAAGGAAGCUUGUUACUGCACAGUUGGUAUCCAGUCAGAGACUGAGUUUAAGAACUGUCUCAUUUUAGAUGGCAGCUGUCAAAUGGUGGAGAGCUUUCAACCCAGCUGGAAGAACCAGGAGAUGUUUCCAAAAGGGCACAAGAGGUCUCGCAUUUAGGGGCCAUGAAACCAAAUCAGAAGAGCUGAGAGAGAUGAGUGAUAGAAACGGAAAAAAGAAGCUGCAAGAUAAUAAACAUGGCAGCAAAAUGAUGCAGAUACCAUCUCAUCAGAAGGUCCAUUCCAUUCCGUCCAGUGAAGGAAUCGUGCUUGGUUCUCCCUUUGCAACACUUACCUGGGCCAUGAUGUCAGAUUCACAACAUUCAGUGUUCUAUGCCCACAGCAGCCAGUGAUACAGAGCAAGGACAGGGAAGUGAGGUCACAACACAAGGCAAAUGUUAGCCACGUCCCCAGCAUUUGAAAAAUGCAGCUGAUAUGGAUGCUGAAGUGAAAAUAGAAGCUGAAAUGCAUUUUUGUCCCAUUGCUGGAAGCCUGCAACACGCUGGAACUUGCUGGAACUCAGUUCCGUCACUUCUCAGGCGGGUGCCGUUGCCAUUAUAAGAGAGCAAGGGAGACGUUCACGGCACUGGAGCCCUUUCUUCGUAUUCUCCUUGGUGGUGUUCAGGGAAUGCUUGUCAUAGUGUUACUGAUGUACCCCUGCCCCCAUGUGGCCACAGAAGUGACAGUAACACAACACACUGCCAUCUUCACUUGGCCUCCUGGGAGAUAUUUUAACAUUGGAUUUGUUCCAGCUUUGCUGAGGGUUGAUGCCAGCCGUUGUUACAACAAAUUCACCUGCCUACGCAGACUACUGCUAAUUAGCAACGUCAGUCUCACAGAAGCAGCACCUGCGGGAAGGGAUCCUUAGCCAGAAGCUGGGAUGCUGAAAAAGUGAAGGAUGGCUACAUGAGAAAUGCACACUGGCUGCCUGCAGAUUGAAGGAUAUAACUCCAAACUGCUUGGCGGAGAGUUUUUCCACAUAGCAUGGACAUUCUUGGUGGCAUGCUCCUUGGUUGAUAAAGCAUGAGGAUGAUUUCAGUUCACUUAAUUAAUACAACAGGAUGGCUGAGAUCAGCAAUAAGGCUGGAACCCCAAUAAUGGACCAUGCAUGCAAGUGGAAGGAGCUUAGAUCCAGACGUGCUUUUUCAAAGGGAAGUCUGGAAGGGAGAAGGAGGUGAUUUCUGCCAAUUGCUCCUUCCCCCAACAGCCCCUCCCAUUCUCACCUCUCACCCAUGCUAUUCCCCAGUAUUUCAGGGCAAAUUUGUGGGGAAUUGGUACAGGGAAGCUCAGUUCAGCUGGAAUCCUGCAUAGGCUCAUGAGCUAUGUGACCACUUUGGUUUUGCUCUACAUACAAUGAGCACGAUGGCAGUGCAAAGUAACAGAGGAAGAAAACCUUGGCUUCAGCUAAACAACCUCUCCAAACAGCAAGAGCAUGGUGAACAAAUGCAUGUGAAAGCCUAAUUAGUUCCUGGAACCUCUGUCAUGUCUAAUGUAAGCAUAUGCCUCUGUUCAGUCAUUAAUUAACCCUGGUGAGAAUAAAUGGCUUCCUUCUGAACAUUUUCUUCUACUGGUAACCGGAUUAAAUGCUAGUUUGCAUUCCCUGGAAAAGCACCAAUGCCUCUUCCCAUGUGGAACCCUUUGUCACUUGGAAAGGUGUUCCGAUUGGCUAAAAAAUCCUGCUUGACCAGUUGUGCAACUCUGCAGUGGACAACUUCUUGUUAUUGCUGCUAACAACUCAUUACUUAUGUCCCUUUGUCAUUUAGUAUCUCCCAGAAUGUCAUUUAGCAUCUCUUACAAAAUGCAAGAGCACUCUGUCUCUCACAAAAUGAUCCUUUCUCUUAGCAACUGUCAACCAUCGGGAAACCUCUUUCCUAUAAUUGGGCAUCCCCCAGACACCAAAAUUGUUUGGCUUCUUUGAUUCCCCAGGAGGCUGCUGUAGGUGUGUCUCUUUUCUUCAAGCUAUCUCAACGCUAUAGAUGCCUAGGACAGCAGACCUCUCUUCACUUACAGCUAGAUCCUUUCUCUGGUCUCCUCUCUCCAUCUUCUUGUCUCUCUACCAUGUUUGUUGUUUCUCUUAUGGAAACACCAACUUAGGUUUCUCCCUUAAGGAAACUUUCUGUUUUUGGAGCCACUUUAGGAGGGUUCUAGGAAACCCAGCACUGGUGAUGGUACUUAGCUCAAGGGCAAACUAUGAAGGCACC